AGAGUUUGAUCCUGGCUCAGGAUGAACGCUGGCGGCGUGCCUAACACAUGCAGGUCGAGCGAAGCACUUUGCUUAGAUUCUUCGGAUGAAGAGGAUUGUGACUGAGCGGCGGACGGGUGAGUAACGCGUGGGUAACCUGCCUCGUACAGGGGGAUAACAGUUAGAAAUGACUGCUAAUACCGCAUAAGACCACAGCACCGCAUGGUGCAGGGGUAAAAACUCCGGUGGUAUGAGAUGGACCCGCGUCUGAUUAGCUAGUUGGUAAGGUAACGGCUUACCAAGGCGACGAUCAGUAGCCGACCUGAGAGGGUGACCGGCCACAUUGGGACCGAGACACGGCCCAAACUCCUACGGGAGGCAGCAGUGGGGAAUAUUGCACAAUGGGGGAAACCCUGAUGCAGCGACGCCGCGUGAGCGAAGAAGUAUUUUCGGUAUGUAAAGCUCUAUCAGCAGGGAAGAAAAUGACGGUACCUGACUAAGAAGCACCGGCUAAAUACGCGCCAGCAGCCACGGUAAUACGUAUGGUGCAAGCGUUAUCCGGAUUUUACCUGGGUGUAAAAGGGGGGGUAGCGGGGUGGGGCAAGUCUGAUGUGGAAAACCCGGGGCUCAACCCCGGGACUGCAUUGGAAACUGUUCUUCUAGAGUGUUGGAGAGGUAAGUGGAAUUCCUAGUGUAGCGGUGAAAUGCGUAGAUAUUAGGAGGAACACCAGUGGGGAAGGCGGCUUACUGGACAGUAACUGACGUUGAGGCUCGAAAGCGUGGGGAGCAAACAGGAUUAGAUACCCUGGUAGUCCACGCCGUAAA
rnacentral:rRNA from 1 species